rnacentral:rRNA from 1 species
GAUGAACGCUGGCGGCGUGCCUAAUACAUGCAAGUCGAGCGAACAGACGAGGAGCUUGCUCCUCUGACGUUAGCGGCGGACGGGUGAGUAACACGUGGAUAACCUACCUAUAAGACUGGGAUAACUUCGGGAAACCGGAGCUAAUACCGGAUAAUAUAUUGAACCGCAUGGUUCAAUAGUGAAAGACGGUUUUGCUGUCACUUAUAGAUGGAUCCGCGCCGCAUUAGCUAGUUGGUAAGGUAACGGCUUACCAAGGCGACGAUGCGUAGCCGACCUGAGAGGGUGAUCGGCCAGACUGGAACUGAGACACGGUCCAGACUCCUACGGGAGGAAGCAGUAGGGAAUCUUCCGCAAUGGGCGAAAGCCUGACGGAGCAACGCCGGGUGAGUGAUGAAGGUCUUCGGAUCGGAAAACUCUGUUAUUAGGGAAGAACAAAUGUGUAAGUAACUAUGCACGUCUUGACGGUACCUAAUCAGAAAGCCCCGGCUAACUACGUG